GAUCUGGGGGUGACCGCACGGGGAGGCGGCUGCAGAGCUGGGGCAGCCGAGUGAGAGCCGAACUGCAGCUCUCCUGCCAGGGCUCCGGCCCGGCUGCUGAUUUCAGCCAUGCAGACUGCCCAGCUCAGGAGGGGCCGGGCUUCGUCCUUCCACUGAGAUCCUACCUGGGGAAAGGCAGCUCCUGGGGCUUGCCCAGGGCUGAGCAGAGCUGGGGUUCUUCCCUGCAAUCCUCCCCCAGGGAUGAGGAGGGUGAUGGAUGCCCCGGGUACUGGCAGGUGUUGAUCCCCUUGCUCCCGUUAUCUCAUCCCAGCAGGAAUAGUGGGAACACGGGGUGUGGAGAGCACUGCAGAGGAGAAGGGCUGGGGUUUGGGAGGACCCACAAAAGCCAGUGAGACCCUGGGCACGCCACAGCCCUGUGGGGCUCAGCCUUCCCACAGGAUCUGCCCCGUGUUUGAAGGGCUGUGGGUGCAGCACAGCAGGAUUUGCUCCAGUGCUGGGUCCCCCAUCUCCUGCUGCAGCACGGGAUGGUUUGGGGUUAUUUGGGGUAUGAAGGGGCUCUUCCUUUAUUCAGUGUUUGAGGAAGAGGGUCCUAUGUAAGAGGGGAAAAGCAGGAAAAACGAGUGUGUGCUUCCAAACACCCGGGGAUGUGGGAAUCACUCGGCACAUCUGAGGAGCUCCCACACCCAGGGAGGGAUUUGGGGAUUCUUGUACCUAAAACCCAGCGUGGUUUGCAAAGGAACCAGUAAUGCUGCUCUGGUUAAUACUCUGGGUCAGCCGCGGGUCAGCAGAGUGGGAACACCGCCCCAGGCACUGGGCUGUGGCUGCAUCUUUCCAGCAUCCCAGAGCAAUUUAGGGCUUCGUUUGGAGAACAGCCAAACUGCCUGAUGGAACACCGGAGGGCCCCUCAAAGCAGCCAGGGAAAGGCCCGGCUGAGGGGGAUGCUCCUCACCAGACACCCUCCAAGGGCAGUGGGAUCCUUCUCUGUGAGGUCCAUCUGCGUCUUGCUUCGCCACGCUCCGUGUGUUCCACAGCCCCAGGAGCUGCUGCCGGCAGAGGGAGCAGGAACUGAGCGGGAUCUGAGCCUCUCCUAAGCACGGUGUUUGCGUUUUCCCUUUUUUUGGCUGGGUCCCGAGGCCGCUCUCGGAAGAGCCAAGUGCCGGUGUUCUGUCUGCACGCUCGGAGCUGUUCAAUUAAACAGUUCAGGGAAUUAACUGCGUGCCACGAGCUGCAGCAAACCCGCUCGCAGCCAGGGACCGCUGGAUUUGCUCCUCGCCAAAAAAAACCUCGGGAAACAACGCUAAUAAAGAAGGAUAACUGAGUCCCUG